rnacentral:rRNA from 1 species
AUUGAACGCUGGCGGCAUGCCUUACACAUGCAAGUCGAACGGCAGCACGGGUGCUUGCACCUGGUGGCGAGUGGCGAACGGGUGAGUAAUACAUCGGAACAUGUCCUGUAGUGGGGGAUAGCCCAGCGAAAGCCGGAUUAAUACCGCAUACGAUCUACGGAUGAAAGCGGGGGACCUUCGGGCCUCGCGCUAUAGGGUUGGCCGAUGGCUGAUUAGCUAGUUGGUGGGGUAAAGGCCUACCAAGGCGACGAUCAGUAGCUGGUCUGAGAGGACGACCAGCCACACUGGGACUGAGGCACGGCCCAGACUCCUACGGGAGGCAGCAGUGGGGAAUUUUGGACAAUGGGCGAAAGCCUGAUCCAGCAAUGCCGCGUGUGUGAAGAAGGCCUUCGGGUUGUAAAGCACUUUUGUCCGGAAAGAAAUCCUUGGCCCUAAUACGGUCGGGGGAUGACGGUACCGGAAGAAUAAGCACCGGCUAACUACGUG